GAAAUAAGUUAUUCAAAAUUAAGCUUCUAACUUAAAUUUUUAGUGGUGAAACUCCAUUAUUAUUUUU
rnacentral:tRNA from 1 species